rnacentral:rRNA from 1 species
UACGGAGGGUGCAAGCGUUAUCCGGAUUCACUGGGUUUAAAGGGUGCGUAGGUGGGCUUGUAAGUCAGUGGUGAAAUCUCCGUGCUUAACAUGGAAACUGCCAUUGAUACUAUAGGUCUUGAAUUUUCUGGAGGUAAGCGGAAUAUGUCAUGUAGCGGUGAAAUGCUUAGGUAUGACAUAGAACACCAAUUGCGAAGGCAGCUUGCUACAGGGAUAUUGACACUGAGGCACGAAAGCGUGGGGAUCAAACAGG